rnacentral:rRNA from 1 species
AGUCGAACGGAGAUUUAUUUCGGUAGAUUCUUAGUGGCGAACGGGUGAGUAACGCGUGGGCAAUCUGCCCUUCAGAUGGGGACAACAUCCCGAAAGGGGUGCUAAUACCGAAUACGAUCGUUUUCCCGCAUGGGAUUGCGAUGAAAGAUGGCCUCUAUUUAUAAGCUAUCGCUGAAGGAUGAGCCUGCGUCUGAUUAGCUAGUUGGUGGGGUAACGGCCUACCAAGGCGAUGAUCAGUAGCCGGUCUGAGAGGAUGAACGGCCACAUUGGGACUGAGACACGGCCCAAACUCCUACGGGAGGCAGCAGUGGGGAAUAUUCCGCAAUGGACGAAAGUCUGACGGAGCAACGCCGCGUGAGUGAUGAAGGUUUUCGGACUGUAAAGCUCUGUUGUUUAGGACGAAAGUGCCUGUUGCGAACAGUUACAGGUAUUGACGGUACUAAACGAGGAAGCCACGGCUAACUACGUGCCAGCAGCCGCGGUAAUACGUAGGUGGCAAGCGUUGUCCGGAAUUAUUGGGCGUAAAGAGCAUGUAGGCGGAGAUUUAAGUCUGUUGUGAAAAUGCGGGGCUCAACCCCGUAUUGCGAUGGAAACUGAAUUUCUUGAGUGCAGGAGAGGAAAGGGGAAUUCCCAGUGUAGCGGUGAAAUGCGUAGAUAUUGGGAGGAACACCAGUGGCGAAGGCGCCUUUCUGGACUGUGUCUGACGCUGAGAUGCGAAAGCCAGGGUAGCGAACGGGAUUAGAUACCCCGGUAGUCCUGGCCGUAAACGAUGGGUACUAGGUGUAGGGGGUAUCGACCCCCCCUGUGCCGGAGUUUACGCAAUAAGUACCCCGCCUGGGGAGUACGGCCGCAAGGGUGAAACUCAAAGGGAUUGACGGGGGCCCGCA